AUUGAACGCUGGCGGCAUGCUUACACAUGCAAGUCGAACGGCAGCGCGGGGUAACCUGGCGGCGAGUGGCGAACGGGUGAGUAAUAUAUCGGAACGUACCCAAGAGUGGGGGAUAACGUAGCGAAAGUUACGCUAAUACCGCAUACGAUCCAAGGGUGAAAGUGGGGGAUUCGCAAGAACCUCAUGCUCCUGGAGCGGCCGAUAUCUGAUUAGCUAGUUGGUGAGGUAAAGGCUCACCAAGGCGACGAUCAGUAGCUGGUCUGAGAGGACGACCAGCCAGACUGGGACUGGGACACGGCCCAGACUCCUACGGGAGGCAGCAGUGGGGAAUUUUGGAAAAUGGGCGCAAGCCUGAUCCAGCAAUGCCGCGUGGAGGAUGAAGGCCUUUGGGUUGUAAACUCCUGUCGGCUGGGAAGAAAUCAUACGGCGCUCAUACCGCCGUGUGUUGACUGUACCAGCAAAGGAAGCCCCGGCUAACUCUGUGCCAGCCGCCGCGGUAACAC
rnacentral:rRNA from 1 species